rnacentral:ribozyme from 1 species
ACCAAAAACUUGAAUUCAAACUUGGAAAAAUUUGAACUUUUUUUUGUGUUUUUUUCGGUUUGUUUUUUUGUUUUUUUUUUUUUUUUGACUCCUCUCCUGACGGGGAACAGAACACAAUGCCCUCUGAUGCCGGUUCGAAAAAAAGCGGAACGGAA